rnacentral:tRNA from 6 species
GCGCCCGUAGCUCAGUGGAUAGAGCGUCUGCCUCCGGAGCAGAAGGUCGUAGGUUCGAAUCCUAUCGGGCGCA